GGGGACAGCAGGGCUUGUUGGAGGCAGUGUUAAGUAGACAGUUUGGGAGCUGGCUGUGAGUUUUAGCAGCUGAUUCAACCAAACCACCUGCGCAUAGCCUGGUUCCACCUUGUUUUGCCUACUGCAAAUUAAGAGAGAGCAGAAUGCCAUUUUAAAGUCAAUUAUGCUAAAAGUCUUGCAACUUGUCCAAAAUAUGAAGCUUCUGAGAUGUGGAGCAUGGAAGAGACAGAAGAAAUUCAUCUCUGAUUCAUCACCAAAUUGUUUGAUACACCAAGCAUCCAGCUUCAACCAAAAAGAAACAAGUGAGCUUCCAAAAAUGUUCCUUUGUAGAGAAGGCAGAAAUGUCAGUAAGAAAUUGGCAGGGUUCUACAGCCGUGGUCUGGCUUUGCCAUUCAAAGUUUAUCAUUCUGCUGAGAAAGCCUUGAGGAUUCCCAAAGCAGUGAUGUGAAA